GCUUGAACUACACUAUCUAGGUGUAAUUAAAAACUCUCGUGAGUCCCUACUGUCAUCAGUAAGUUAAAUCUCCAUUACAACUACACCAUCAUAACAGCCUACUCCAUCCAUUCUUUGCAUUUUAAUAGUCUCUGCCUCUGUAAGUAACAAGCAAGCUUCUGUGAAGAACCCAUUGCAAAUUUAUUCCUAAAAUCUCGGCUCUUCACCUUUCAAGGAAUGGAACUCAUGAAAUUGAGUAAACAAAUUGCGGGAUGGCAUGCCACAUUCAUUCAGAAAACAUGCUGAUUACUCAGCAAAAUGGCGUUUAGCACCACAAAGGAGCCAAGGAGAGAGCAGCUACAUCAAAUCCUCAAUGGAAUCCGAUAUCCCCACCUGUGGGAUGCCUAGAGAUAACAGGCAAUUGUGUCCAAAAAUGCAAUUACCAGAAGGGAAGAAAAAAGAGGUACUCUCUUUCCUGAGGAAUGGAAUCGUGAAAAGAGUCUUUCAUCAUGGACCAGAGUAUACUCAAAGCA